UCGAGGAUCUUCGGCAAUGGGCGCAAGCCUGACCGAGCGACGCCGCGUGUGCGAAGAAGGCCUUCGGGUUGUAAAGCACUGUCGAGAGGAAGAAAGCCGCAAGGUUGAUCGACCUCUGGAGGAAGCACGGGCUAAGUUCGUGCCAGCAGCCGCGGUAAGACGAACCGUGCGAACGUUGUUCGGAAUCACUGGGUUUAAAGGGCGCGUAGGCGGGCUGUCAAGUCGGUGGUGAAAUCGUUCCGCUCAACGGGACAAUGGCCUUCGAUACUGGCGGUCUGGAGGGAGGUAGGGGCAUGCGGAACUUCCGGUGGAGCGGUGAAAUGCGUAGAUAUCGGAAGGAACACCGAUGGCGAAAGCAGCGUGCUGGACCUUUUCUGACGCUGAGGCGCGAAAGCCAGGGGAGCAAACGGGAUUAGAUACCCCGGUAGUCC
rnacentral:rRNA from 1 species